rnacentral:rRNA from 1 species
AAUGAACGCUGGCGGCGCGCCUAAUACAUGCAAGUCGAGCGAGAAGACGUAGCAAUACGUUUGUAAAGCGGCGAACGGGUGAGGAAUACAUGGGUAACCUACCCUAGAGUGGGGAAUAACUAGCCGAAAGGUUAGCUAAUACCGCGUACGCUCCUUGGACUUCGGUUCAGGGAGGAAAGCGAUGCCGAGGGUAUCGCGCUCUUGGAUGGACUCAUGUCCUAUUAGCUUGUUGGUGAGGUAACGGCUCACCAAAGCUUCGACGGGUAGCUGGUCUGAGAGGACGAUCAGCCACACUGGCACUGCGACACGGGCCAGACUCCUACGGGAGGCAGCAGUAAGGAAUAUUGCGCAAUGGGCGAAAGCCUGACGCAGCGACGCCGCGUGGGGGA